rnacentral:rRNA from 1 species
GCGCGGCACCGGGCCCGGCUGUGCACUUCUGCGGGGAGCCGGCCAACGGCGGGGGCAGGUGGCUCCGCGUCGCAGAACUUACAGCCCUGCGACGUGGGCGACUGAGGAGAGCUUCGCACGUGGGCUGGGCCGGCACCUCGCGCCGCGGUCGUUGGCGCCCGAAUGGCGGCAUCCGACCCGUCACACGGACCAAGGAGUGCAUCGGGCACGCGAGUCCCGGGGUGGCAAACCGGCGCAAUGAAGGUGAAGGGCGAGAGCCCCCCCGGCACAUCGUCGACCGAUCCCGGGCCACGCCGUGGCGGGAUUUGAGUGAGAGCGCGUCCGAUGCGACCCGAAAGAUGGUGAACUAUGCCUGAAUAGGGCGAAGCCAGAGGAAACUCUGGUGGAGGCCCGCAGCGAUUCUGACGUGCAAAUCGAUCGUCUAAUUUGGGUAUAGGGGCGAAAGACUAAUCGAACCGUCUAGUAGCUGGUUCCCUCCGAAGUUUCCCUCAGGAUAGCUGGAGCCCGGUGCAGUUUUAUCAGGUAAAGCGAAUGAUUAGAGGUCUUGGGGCUGAAACAGCCUCAACCUAUUCUCAAACUUUAAAUGGGUAAGAAGCCCGGCUUGCUCGUCUGAAGUCGGGCGCAGAAUGCCGGGGCUCCCAGUGGGCCAUUUUUGGUAAGCAGAACUGGCGAUGCGGGAUGAACCGAAUGCCGGGUUAAGGUGCCCGAAUCGACGCUCAUCAGAUCCCAUGAAAGGUGUUGGUU